rnacentral:tRNA from 1 species
GUCCCCAUCGUCUAGCGGUUAGGACAUCACCCUUUCAAGGUGAAGACACGGGUUCGAUUCCCGUUGGGGAUGCCA